CCUACGGACGGCAGCAGUGAGGAAUAUUGGUCAAUGGGCGCGAGCCUGAACCCGCCAAGUAGCGUGAAGGAUGCCUGCCCUACGGGUUGUAAACUUCUUUUAUAAAGGCAUCAAGUGAGGCACGUGUGCCUUUUUUUAUGUACUUUAUGAAUAAGGAUCGGCUAACUCCGUGCCAGCAGCCGCGGUAAUACGGAGGAUCCGAGCGUUAUCAGGAUUUAUUGGGUUUAAAGGGAGCGUAGAUGGGUUGUUAAGUCAGUUGUGAAAGUUUGCGGCUCAACCGUAAAAUUGCAAUUGAUACUGGCAGUCGUGAGUACAGUUGAGGUAGGCGGAAUUCGUGGUGUAGCGGUGAAAUGCUUAGAUAUCACGAAGAACUCCGAGUGCGAAGGCAGCUUACUAAACUGCCACUGACAUUGAUGCUCGAAAGUGUGGGUAUCAAACAGGAGUAGAUACCCCAGUAGUC
rnacentral:rRNA from 1 species